ACGUGACAGCAAUUAUUUACAUAAAUUAAAAAUGGAGGACAGAACGUGAGUCAACGUCAAAAUUACUUCCAUCCGUACUGGAUUUUCUUGAUUUUCGUACUGUUUCGAAAGAUUCCUGCCACAAUGUCCAAACCGGACGCUAGUUCGAAUUCCGUUGAGGAGCUUCAAAUAGAACUCGCUCGUUUGCAGCAGGAACUAACGGAGACAAACCAAGAAAAAAUCCGAGCGGCAGAAUACGGAUUGGCCGUCCUUGAGGAAAAACAUCAACUCGAGAGCCAUAUAGAGGAGCUAGAAGCUGAAAGAGAUCAAAUUAAAACUGAGUUAGAACAUGCUAAAGAGACCCUCAGUACACAUCAAGGGAUUUUUAAAAAACAGAAUGAAAGUGGAAUCAAUCUCGAGGACAGUAUUAUACGUGAGUCAGUGUCGCGUGAGCAGGGAUUCCAGGAGAAUAUUCAGGGUCUUGAAACUGAGCUUAAAACCUGCAAACAGAAUCAUGAGAGACUCUCUUCUGAGCACACUGUCAUGGCAAACCUGGUUUCUGAGCUACAGACCAAAUGUGAUCAGCUGGAGGACCAGAGAAGGCAGUUAAAGAGUGAACUGAAAGAGUAUAAGAUAAGAGAGAAUAGGAACAUUGUGGACUAUUCUGAAUUGGAGGAAGAAAACAUAUCUCUACAAAAGCAAGUGUCUGUGUUAAAACAAAGUCAGGUUGAAUAUGAAGGGUUAAAACACGAGAAGAAAAGAUUGGAAGAAGAGCUAGAUGAUUUGAACAUGCAGUUAGAUGAAAGUGUUUCUUUGAAAAAGAUUGUUGAUAAAAAUCUUGAAGAGGCAUUGAAUGCAUUGCAAGUUGAAAGAGAGCAGAAGCAUGCCUUAAAGAAAGAACUUGAUGCUAGACUAACACAAGAAUCUAUGUUUAAUUUGAGUAAUUUAGCUCAGCUUGGUGGUCUCAGUGAUGGUUUAAGAUUAAACAAUCAUGAAGGUGAUGUAGAUGAGGAAGAUGGACAUCCUGCACUGAAAAGAGUUGAAGCAGACUAUGAACACAAAGAUGAAAAUCAGCCUGCUAGAAAAGGCCCUGGUAAAGUCAAUGAUAUUCUUAGUGAAAUUCAACAAAAUGAAGUGAAAAAAUUGGAACAAAUGCUUGAACAGAGUGAAGAAGAAAAAAUUGAAUUGCAAAGGGCAUUGGAUGAAGCAAAGAAAUUAAUUGAAGAUACACAAUCUGAUCUUAUUGAACAAAAAGAUAGAGCAAAUCAGUUGAAAACACAGAUAAGUGCAGCUUUGGCAAAUGGUAGUCUUGAUUCCUCACCAGACAGUGAUAUGACAGAUUAUUUAGAUGAACAGAUUGAAAACGAAUCUGAUCAAGGAAAGAAAGCCUUGUUAGAGAUGAAGAAAAAUUUACUUAUGAAUGAAAAGAAAUAUUCCUCUGCACUAAAGCAAAUCAAUGAUCUUCAGUCUGAAAUAAGUAAUUUGAUGGAUAAAAACAAACAAGGAAAUCUAAAAGAAGGUGAUCCUGCCAUUACUGAAAUUCUUAACCAGCUUCAAGCUAAGGUGAAACAAUAUGAGGAUGUUGUUAAAGACAUGAACAAAGACUUGAAAUCAAUGACCAAGAUUGCUGGUGAAUCACAAGGCUCUUUGAACAUGACACAGGAGGAAAUGUUGAAAGUAACUGAGGAACUUGCCCAACUUUAUCAUCUUGUGUGUGAAGUAAGUGGAGAAACACCAAGCCGUGUUAUGCUUCAGCAUGCUAAAGCUAUUGACAAACUGUCCAAACAAGACUCAAGGGAAGGAGCUGAAGACCAAGGGGAAAAAGAAGAAGGUGGUACUGAAAAGGAAAGUGGUAAAAAGAAAAGGUCCAAAUCUAAAAAGAGUAGAUCUGAAAGUUACGAGGACUCUGUAAAAGCUGAUGCUAACUCCUGUCAAAAAUUAACAGAAACAAUUCUUGACCAGACAAAACAUCUGAAGAAGUCUGUUGAACAUCUGAUGGAAGUUUCUAGAAAUAGAACUGAUGAUAAUGAACAGUCAGAUGCUCAAGAAUUACAGGAACAGAUCGUCAAGCUGAAGGCAAUGUUGUCAACUAAGAGAGAGCAGAUUGCAACAUUAAGAAGUGUUCUUAAAGCCAAUAAAUCAACAGCUGAAUUUGCUUUGGCAAACUUGAAACAAAAGUAUGAAAAUGAAAAAGUUAUAGUAACAGAAACAAUGUUGAAGCUAAGAAAUGAACUCAAAGCAUUAAAAGAAGAUGCUGCCACUUUCGCUUCCUUAAGAGCUAUGUUUGCCCAACGUUGUGAUGAAUAUGUCACCCAGCUUGAUGAAUACCAACGUCAACUUGCUGCCGCAGAAGAAGAGAAGAAGACCCUGAAUUCCCUCCUACGAAUGGCUAUCCAGCAGAAACUCGUGUUGACACAGAGACUAGAGGAUUUGGAAUUCGACCGAGAGAGACGGAACAUGCGUAGACCGCAAGGAGGCGGCGGUAGAAACAAGUCUGGCGCUUCCAAAGUAAGUCACUACAAUGAUGAACAGUCAUAUAGUGGUCGCUAUGGGGGAGGCAGACACCAUAACUAUCAAAAUCAUCAUAGCCAUUCAAAUCCAAGACGCGACUAUUAGAACUUGAAUCCUCCAUCCCUGCAACUACCAGUUUAUUUUAGGGUAUUUGGGAGCAUGCUUGAUAGACUUAACUCACAAUAAAAACAGGAACAAUGCUUUUCAUUCCCGGGAAGUUGCUCAAGUUCCAGAGCAAACAUAAUGACCACAAGUAUGGAAUCAACUAACGGAACUUUGUAAUUGCUGAACAGACAGAUAUAUUGCAUUUUAAGUUUCGUCCAGAAAUUCGUGCUGAUGUGACAGGGUUAACCAAAGAAUUUGAUUGGCUCUCGAGUAUUCUCAUUGUCUCACAUUGUAUCCAAAGAUUUCAUCCGCCAUAAUGAUAUUAAUUAGACUGCAAACUCUUUAUUACUUGUGGUCAGGACAUUUCAUUGUUGCUACCUUUAUUACAGUGAACUUGUGCUUCAAAUGUUGAUCACACUUUCCCAUAAGUUAGGGAAGCCGUCCCGCAGAGCGAGAAAGCAAUGUGAAGGGAGAAGUUAUUUCGAGGGAUAUAAUUUGAUGAACUCUGACCUUAAGAUAUGAAAGAUAAAGGUCAUGGAACUAAAGGUGAAGGUUACAGUUGUCAUGGAAGCACAGUUCAGACUGGGGGUAGCAACAGAACAGAGCCAGUGCAUUUUGUAGUCAUGUCACCAUGUUUUAUUUAAACAGCUGUUUCGGUAUACCGAAAAAACUGUUUGAUUUUAUAAAUAUAUAUCAUUAAACUGUUUUGUGUUGUGAAAGAGUAAUCAGAAAAUGUACCAACAUUUUGGGGGUAAUAGAGCUAAUGGUAACCGAGUUAAUAUAAGUGCACCAUUCAGAAAGUUUCCUUUUAUUUCGUAUUUUAACACUUAUUCAUUUUGUAAAGGGCUUAUAAGUAAAUUGCUUUUGAAUAUAGCAUUUUCUGUAGAAAUAACAGAAUGGUGUAAUGUUUAAUAUCAUCUGAAAACUUGGAUCUUGAGUCAAAGUUUAUAGAUAAAACGAUAAAAUGGUGUGUAAAAAUUAUAUAUAAUAUAAACUUUUGAGGAGGAUGGAUGAUUAAAGUUGAACCUUUUAUUUGAGAUUACUUUAAAGUGUAUGAGAAUUGUCAUUUCUUAUUCCCAUUGUUGUAUAUAUAAACAUUUUUAAAACAUGUUAUUUUAUAGAACUGCAGGUCUGUGAUGUAACUAUAUAUAUCUAUAGCAAAUGUUUUUAGUUAAUGGAACCCUGAAUUUUAUGAAAAUAUUUAAAAGAUAAUGACAUUUUUAACUAAAAGUUUAACACCUUUUAUUUUAAUUCUUAUAGACAUUGACAGAAAUAAUUUAAAGUUUAAAAGGGAUUUGAUUUUUUUUUAAAGGGAAUUUUUAGAAUAAUCAGUAAGUUGUUAUUAUGUUUUUUGUUACAAAUAAGCGGGUUUUUAAUUAAUUGGUGCAAUUAUAUGAAAAAUAAGGUUCAACCCUUAAAGUGUUAAGAUUUUUGGUCAAUUCUCUUAUAUUGCAUAUCUAAAUUUUUAAUUUCUUCCUUUUUCUUUUGUUUUGAAAAUAAAAUCAUUAGAUGAUUUCAUAAAGGUGCUUUUCAUGUUUUAAGUUGCAUGUAUUUAUCAAAGCUUUUAUUUAUCUACUCUGACAUUUUGAAAAUAAGAUAUUUGAAUUAUUUAUUCUGUAUUAUGAUAAUAGCUUUUAAAACACACAAUUCAAAACAUAUUUUACUAUAAGCCAAAAUAAUGCAUUAUCAAUGAAGUUAGGAAACCUUCAACUACUGGUAUGAAAUUUCAUCUUGGCUUUUUAAAACUUGUUCUAAUGGUAAUAUAAUGAUAUAUAAAAAUAUAUAAAAGGAAUUGUUAAUGAAUUUUUACUGUACUUUAAUGGAUGUUUUAUGCAAAACCAUGGCUUUUGGAAUAUUUUUUCUGUGAUAAAUAUAUUUAAAGUUCCACCAACCUUUACCUAUUAUAGUCUCAUCAUAUGAGAAACCUUUUAUCUUAUUUAUAUUAUAAAAAAUACUGUGUAACAGUUGCUUUUUAACUACUGACAAAUAUGUCCUUAAAAAAUCAACAACCAAAAUUACACAUUUAUUAUGACUUCAAUUUCUUUUUUAUUUCUAUAUUUUUUUUGUAAAUUUUUUAAAAUUACAUUCGAAUUUUUAUGCUCUGAUAUUACAAAACUGGUGUUCAGUUGUAUGUGUUCUUGAAAUCUUUAUCUGCUGGUAUCUUGCAUCUGAUUGGUUAUUAGAUUAUUUUGCUGAAUUCUGAUUGGUCAAGUGAUUUUGAAUUGCUGAAAUUUGAUUGGUUAUCUGAAAUUUGAGUUCUGUAGCUUAUUUCUGAUUGGUUUAAAUGAUUUGAAAAUAUGAUAAUGAGUUAAUGUUGCUAUAUAAGGCUACCUCAAGAUGUAUAUAUUGAAUUUUGAUGUCAUAACACUAAAUUUUUGAAAGAAGGAAAAUUAAGACAAAUACAUUACAACAAACAGCUUAAAGGAUGAAUAGGAUUUAAUAAAGAAUUAUUUAGUUUACAAUUAACAAUUUUUGACUGUCAAAGAAACUUUCUGUAACAAAAGGAGUAAAAAAGACAACAAAAAUUAAAGCCAAAUCAGUUGACCAUUGGAUUAUUUUUUGUACAUUGACAUGUGUUUUGAAUUAUUAUUUUGACCUAAUUUAUUAAAGAUUGAGGACUUGUACAAAGAUGUCUGUUACUUAUGCUACAAUUGUAUAUCUAUAGUUAAAUAUCUUAGAGUAUAACAUUUUAUGGUGGAGAGUUGGAGCUUCGUUUAUGGGAAAUUAUUAAAUUAUAUGAUAAUUUUCCUAAAAAAAAAAUUGUGCUGAUUAUAUCUUUUAUGCUUUAGUUUUGUUUAAGUUCUAUAUUUUAUUUUCAGUUGAGGGUUUAUGAUUUUAAAAGUGGAAGAAAAAAAUUCUUAUGUUACUAUUUUAAUUGCAGUGGUAGCAAAUGUAAAUAUAUAUAUGCAAUGUUUUUUUUAUACAUUAUGAAAUUUCUAUUUUAGCAUUUGUAUGAAAUUGAUUUUCCUCUACUUUUUCUCUUAACUUUUUAAAAAGUCUUCAAUGGAAAUUGUUUAUUUUAAUUUUUAUUCUAAAAAGUUAUUUUCCUUUAGGCUUUGAAUUGCAAAAAUUGCAUCAAUUGUCAAAAGUAAAAAUCCGAUGGCAUUGUUUAAGUGUAUGUUGAAUGUAUGUAACUAUGUAAGCCUGCAUGUUGCUACUUAUUAUCAUAUUUCUAUGCCGUGUCAAAGAUUACAGAAAAAUAGAUGAAAAUGAACUUUUU